AAAAACGUCUGGGUAUGAAAGUGAGAAGGACUGAGGAACCUUCUAGAUUAAAGGAGAGUAAACAGACAUGGCCACUAAAUGGAGCAGAUCCUGUACUGGACAUGUUCCAUGAGUUACACUAAGCUCUCUGGGACCAGAGCUGUGGACAGCAGAGACCCGGGCCUUGCCUCCCAGAACUUCCACUGCAGGGGAUGUGAUGGACACUAGUGAGCAUAAGCGCUACGGAAGCACAAGGAGGGGCAUCUCAUCCAGACCAAGAGGAACCAUGCAUUGACCUGAUGAGGUUUGGAGUACAGGUGGCAAAUGUUGUAAUUCCUGCUCUGCAGUGGAGAUGACUGAACUCAGAGAAAUGAAAUGAACUGACCCAG